rnacentral:snRNA from 1 species
CUAGUUAGCAGGUGGUUUUUCCAUGGUGAGGCCUGUCUCUUGCACUCCAGGCAGACUGACCCCUGCAAAUUUCCCAAAAUGCAGCAAAUUCAGCUGCACAAUUUAAUGGGACUGCUUUUUUAGCUUUCCCUCU